rnacentral:rRNA from 1 species
AGUGAACGCUGGCGGUAUGCCUAACACAUGCAAGUCGAACGGCAACACAGUAAGAGCUUGCUCUUACGGGUGGCGAGUGGCGGACGGGUGAGGAAUACAUCGGCAUCUACUUUUUCGGGGGGGAUAACGUAGGGAAACUUACGCUAAUACCGCAUACGACCUACGGGUGAAAGCAGGGGAUCUUCGGGCCUUUCGCGAUUGAAUGAGCCGAUGUCGGAUUAGCUAGUUGGCGGGGUAAAGGCCCACCAAGGCGACGAUCCGUAGCUGGUCUGAGAGGAUGAUCAGCCACACUGGAACUGAGACACGGUCCAGACUCCUACGGGAGGCAGCAGUGGGGAAUAUUGGACAAUGGGCGCAAGCCUGAUCCAGCCAUACCGCGUGGGUGAAGAAGGCCUUCGGGUUGUAAAGCCCUUUUGUUGGGAAAGAAAAGCAGCAGGUUAAUACCCCGCUGUUCUGACGGUACCCAAAGAAUAAGCACCGGCUAACUUCGUG